AAGUCGUAACAAGGUUUCCGUAGGUGAACCUGCGGAAGGAUCAUUAAUGAAUAACUUUGGCGUGGUUGUAGCUGGCUCUUAGGAGCAUGUGCACACCCGUCAUCUUUAUCUUUCCACCUGUGCACACAAUGUAGAUCUGGAUAACUCUCGCUCUUCGGAGCGGAAACAAGGAUUGCUGCGUCGCAAGGCCAGCUCUCUUUGAAUUUCCAGGUCUACGUCAUUACAAACCCCAAUUGAAUGAUGAAGAAUGUAGUCAAUGGGCUCUAAGCCUAUAAAACACAAUACAACUUUCAGCAACGGAUCUCUUGGCUCUC
rnacentral:misc_RNA from 1 species